UGGUGUUCUCUUUGGAAUUUUAGGGAGCGAGCUCAUAGAUCUUUGGAUACGUCUCCAGAGACAUGAUGAUUCCAGCGUCAGAAUAAUCUGCUCCAUAACGUGACCACAUUUAGGAGACCAGCUCCUGGGAGGAGACCCAAGGAGACAUCUUGAAAUUUCUGAGCAGAGAGGCUUUUGACACAGAGUUGGUGUACGCCGGAUGGCAUCCAGUUGGUAGCCUGCAUUGCUGGUGCAGCAGGAGGAAGCAAGCCUCUGACAAGAGCUAGAUAUGUCACCCUGCAGGACUGCACGGACAGCUUAAAUGGAGUGUAUGUUUGCACCUAAGCAGACUGUUAAGGUCUGAUGAAAGGAUGCGUUUUUCAUUGCUAUUUGUUGUAUGUAAGAGAAAUUGGCAUCUGCGCAUAGUCAUUGCGGAUUCAAUAAUACAAGAAGAUGAAAAAGGAAAAUGCACAUUUCUUCCAUGACUGUCCCUAUGGCUGCAUAGUCACCAUUUAAAGGCUUCUGAAAAUGGAGUUUUGGUUUAUUUUGAGAACCAGCCUUCUGACAUUUGUUUGCUUGCUGUGUUGUGAGGCCAGCCAGGAAGUGCAGUUUCUACAAAUCGCCUCUUGUAUUUGGGUUAAUCCAGGCCUUCCUGCACUUUACUUGGUUGUUAUAAAUGCAUCUUAUAAUUUAUACAGAAUGCAGUUCAUCUGUGCUGUGACUGGGAACAUUAAAAGAAAGCAUUCAGUCAUCGUUUUUGCAUCUGGUGAUGCGAGCUGGGAUUUUCAGAAGAACCCAGAAGAAUUAGACAUUCAAAUUUCAUUAAAAUGCUGUGGAAGUGAAGCAUAUAAACUCUAUUAAAAAGCUCAGUCAUUAUCUAUAGCUCUUUUUCUUUCUCCAUUUUAAAUUGUGGAUAAGUUUGCCGAGGGGAGAGUUGAGGACAAGGCCGGUUUUGCACGCCCUGUGUUCUCAUCAGGGCUAAGGCGCAGUCCCAUCUUAUGUAUUUAGACCCAUUUUUAAAUGCAGCUUCGUGCGCUCACCUAUUUACUGGUUUUGUGAUUAAAAUAUUAUUUUCAUAGCCAGAGCAACUGCUGUAAGCAACAGAUCGAUAAGAACUGUUCAUACCAAUAGUUUGGUGAAUAUGAUUUUGAAAAUGUGUGAUAUCUAACAUGUGGAUGAUUUGCACCUUUUCAUCUUCUGAAGUGUUCGUGUAUACACAGCUGAAUAAAAGUCACUUC
rnacentral:lncRNA from 7 species